rnacentral:rRNA from 1 species
AACGCGAAGAACCUUACCUGGGCUUGACAUGUGAGUGACCGGUGUGGAAACACACCUUCCCUUCGGGGCACUUUCACAGGUGGUGCAUGGCUGUCGUCAGCUCGUGUCGUGAGAUGUUGGGUUAAGUCCCGCAACGAGCGCAACCCCCGUCGCAUGUUGCCAGCAUUUAGUUGGGGACUCAUGCGAGACUGCCGGUGACAAACCGGAGGAAGGUGGGGAUGACGUCAAGUCCUCAUGCCCCUUAUGUCCAGGGCUACACACGUGCUACAUUGGCGCGUACAGAGGGCUGCGAUACCGCGAGGUGGAGCGAAUCCCUUAAAGCGCGUCUCGGUUCGGAUUGCAGGCUGAAAUUCGCCUGCAUGAAGGCGGAGUUGCUAGUAAUCGCGGAUCAGCACUGCCGCGGUGAAUACGUUCCCGGGCCUUGUA